UAUUGCACAAUGGGCGAAAGCCUGAUGCAGCGACGCCGCGUGAGGGAUGACGGCCUUCGGGUUGUAAACCUCUUUCAGUAGGGAACAAGGCCAGCAUUUUUGUUGGUUGAGGGUACUUGCAGAAGAAGCGCCGGCUAACUACGUGCCAGCAGCCGCGGUAAUACGUAGGGCGCAAGCGUUAUCCGGAAUUAUUGGGCGUAAAGAGCUCGUAGGCGGUUUGUCGCGUCUGCCGUGAAAGUCCGGGGCUCAACUCCGGAUCUGCGGUGGGUACGGGCAGACUAGAGUGAUGUAGGGGAGACUGGAAUUCCUGGUGUAGCGGUGAAAUGCGCAGAUAUCAGGAGGAACACCGAUGGCGAAGGCAGGUCUCUGGGCAUUAACUGACGCUGAGGAGCGAAAGCAUGGGGAGCGAACAGG
rnacentral:rRNA from 1 species